UACGUAGGGUGCGAGCGUUAAUCGGAAUCACUGGGCGUAAAGCGCGCGUAGGCGGUUUGUUAAGUGGGAUGUGAAAUCCCCGGGCUUAACCUGGGAAUUGCAUUUCAAACUGGCCGACUAGAGUACGGUAGAGGGAGGUAGAAUUUCCUGUGUAGCGGUGAAAUGCGUAGAUAUAGGAAGGAAUACCAGUGGCGAAGGCGGCCUCCUGGAUCGAUACUGACGCUGAGGCGCGAAAGCGUGGGGAGCAAACAGG
rnacentral:rRNA from 1 species